GAACUUCUCGAUGGUGUUAGAAGAUGUGUACAACAGAUCAACAAAGCAAACCGUGGUGACCUUACUCCCGAGGAGUUGAAAGAACGACAGGCUAAGGGAAUGCAAGACCCAGAAAUCCAGAACAUUCUCACAGAUCCUGUAAUGAGACAGGUACUGUCUGAUCUCCAGGAGAAUCCAGCAGCAGCACAAAAACACAUGCAGAACCCAAUGAUCAUGAACAAAAUCCAAAAGCUGAUCAGCUCAGGAAUUGUCCAGAUGAAAUAAACCCAGAAGUGAAGACAUUAUUGAUUUCGAUUUCCGCUGAUUUGUUACUCUUUUACAACUUCAAACACUAAGAUCAAAUUCUUCGUCAUUUUCAGACUUUUUUGAUAUAUCAUUUUUCUCUCA